AUUCUUGUUAAGAUUGUUUAUUUUUAAGUGCCUGAUUUUGUGUUACAAUAUGGCAAAUGCGGCCCUUUUAUCUGGCUUCCUAACAGGAAGGUGGGUGUACAAUAAUUAUAACAUUCUGUUUAUCUUUUAAGACAAGUGUGCUGAUCCUAGGAAUCUUCUAAAAGAAAAGCAUUAACACUGAAAUGACCAAAUGCAUUUUUUUUAAAUGUAGACUAAAUCCGCUAAUACCCUUGCAAUCAGCAAACCCAUUAACUCAAUUGAAGGAAGAAUUAUUAACAUCAUUACCGUAAACAUUUAAAGAACAUGCAUCUAUUUCAUAGGAACAGUUUUUAUUCAACAGCAGCCAAACCAAAUGGGGUAUAUUCUUUGUCAUGAAUUUUCAGCAAUUGACACAGGGAUUGCAAAUAUUGAAAUGGCUCUUUCAUCAUCUGGGGUCUUUGCGUAAUUGGCAGAGGCGCUUGAUGGUGAAUUCACUGA